rnacentral:lncRNA from 1 species
AGAUCCUGCUAACCUCUUUGUUAUUUGAGCAGCUGGAUGAGAUUCCUGAUUUCCAUAAUCUGUACCUGGAGGUUUAUACAGGAGAGGAUCACUGGGGCAGACUUGAACCAUGGUGCCCACAAGUGGGGAGGGUGCUCCAGCGGCCAUGGAAAGAACUUCCUUCUGCAGUUGGAGACAGCCUUCUGUGUGGCGGGUUAUCAUGCUGACUCGACUAACACAAACCCCCAUCUGGAUGCAGUCCAAACGCCAGAUGUGCCCCCGAUUAGUGUCGGUCUGGGGAAUGUUUCCAUGACUGAGAGGCUGAAGGACAGAGUGUGAUUUUCCACUUGGAAGAGACUCCAGGGCUCUGCAGAGAGGGAAGCCCUGCUGACCCAUUUCAGUAGACUGUGACACUUCAGCGACCUGCAAAUUCUACACAUUAGAGUUCAUAUUUUAUACAAACUUCGUACACCUAAGAUGUGGACUUAACAUUUCUACCAACAACAUCCAACUUCCAACAAAAGAUGCAGGCCCAUCAGAAGAUGAAAGCUACUAAUGAAGAUGCAUUAAAGAUGAUAUUUAUGGCCACCCCUUAGGGAAAAAAAAGAUUCAUAAAUAAUUUCAUGGAAAUUACACCCAAAAUAGAGUCAUAAUUUCCUCAA